rnacentral:rRNA from 1 species
CAGUGAGGAAUUUUGCGCAAUGGGGGAAACCCUGACGCAGCAACGCCGCGUGAGUGAAGAAGGCCUUUGGGUCGUAAAGCUCUGUCGACAGGGAAGAAGUUAGAGUUUUCUAAUAGGAGAUUCUAUUGACGGUACCUGUAGAGGAAGCACCGGCUAACUCCGUGCCAGCAGCCGCGGUAAUACGGGGGGUGCAAGCGUUAUUCGGAAUUAUUGGGCGUAAAGGGCGCGUAGGCGGUCUUGUCGGUCAGAUGUGAAAGCCCAGGGCUCAACCCUGGACGUGCAUUUGAAACAGCAAGACUUGAAUACUGGAGAGGAGAGCGGAAUUCCUGGUGUAGAGGUGAAAUUCGUAGAUAUCAGGAGGAACACCGAUGGCGAAGGCAGCUCUCUGGACAGAUAUUGACGCUGAGGCGCGAAGGCGUGGGUAGCGAACAGGAUUAGAUACCCUGGUAGUCCACGCAGUAAACGAUGUUCACUAGGUGUGUCGGAUAUUAAAAUCUGCAUGUGCCCGCAGCUAACGCAUUAAGUGAACCGC